AUCGAAUAGACUCAGAUAUCGCCCCAGCGAGGACUCAUUUCAAUUUGUGACCGUUGGCAAGGCACUGGCUUACCAGGGCUGCCUGAGAGACGGCUACCACAUCCAAGGGUGGCAGCAGGCGCGCAAAUUACUCAGUCUCGACACUGGGAGGUAAUGAACAAAACUGGUGGCACAAAGCAUAUUGUUUUAUGACUGCAAUGAGUGAAAAUUACAUCGUUUCACGAGUAGCAAUUGGAGGGCAGUGUGGCGGGGGACUGGUCUUGGGACAACUCGAAU
rnacentral:ncRNA from 1 species